rnacentral:rRNA from 1 species
AGAGUUUUGAUCAUGGCUCAGAUUGAACGCUGGCGGCAUGCCUNACACAUGCAANUAGAACGGAAACGAUGGGAGCUUGCUCCCAGGCGUCGAGUGGCGGACGGGUGAGUAAUACUUAGGAAUCUACCCAGUAGCGGGGGACAACUCGUGGAAACUCGAGCUAAUACCGCAUACGCCCUACGGGGGAAAGCAGGGGAUCUUCGGACCUCGCACUAUUGGAUGAGCCUAAGUCGGAUUAGCUAGUUGGUGAGGUAAAGGCUCACCAAGGCGACGAUCCGUAGCUGGUCUGAGAGGACGAUCAGCCACACUGGGACUGAGACACGGCCCAGACUCCUACGGGAGGCAGCAGUGGGGAAUAUUGGACAAUGGGGGCAAGCCUGAUCCAGCAAUACCGCGUGUGUGAAGAAGGCCUGCGGGUUGUAAAGCGCUGUCAGUAGAGAAGAAAAGCCUAGGGUUAAU